UACAGAGGCCUCAAGCGUUAGGCGGAAUCACUGGGCUUAAAGCGCGUGUAGGCGGGUCGUUAAGUGUCUUGUGAAAUCCCACGGCUCAACCGUGGAACUGCUGGGCAUACUGGCGAUCUUGGGCCACGUAGGGGUUGCCGGAACAAGCGGUGGAGCGGUGAAAUGCGUAGAUAUCGUCAAGAACACCGAUAGCGAAGGCAGCUUACUGGGCUGUAACUGACGCUGAGGCACGAAAGUGUGGGGAUCAAACAGG
rnacentral:rRNA from 1 species